rfam:Picea glauca, whole genome shotgun sequence.
ACAUGCCUACAACAUAGCGUUGAUGCAUCAGAUCUUAUUAGAACUCCACAGUUAAGCAUGCUUAGGAUAGAGUAGUACUAGGAUGGGUGAUCGCCCGGGAAGUCCUAGUGUAUUACAUGCA